UUUACAGAUAAGGAAACUGAUAUUCAAAGCUUAACCAAUGACUUGUCCAAAGAGAUAAAACUUGGCUUUGAACCCUUGUCUUCAGACUCCAAAUCAAGUACUUUUUCAUCUUCAGACCAAUAAGUGCUGAAUGUGGCCCCCAAAUUGGUUCAGAGCAACCAUGGUGGACCGUGGGAGAAGAACCAACAGGAUGCAGUGGGCAUCAGUCUUCACAGACAAAUGAGGAAGAUGAGCCAGUGAGAAGGAUUUUCUUGGCUACAGGGCCAUGAAAGGCUCUCAUUGAUGCCAAAACCAAUGGGAAAUUGGUUUAAGAAUUCACCAGGACAUGUCUUUCCAGCCCCAAGGUCACUGAAGCCCCUUACACCAGUUCAGGAGCAGUUACCAUCCCUCCCUGAGGAUCUCCUGCUUCAUCCACAAGUCCUAUGGUGGAAGUUCACAGGUUUAAAAAUUUUUUUUUAAUUAUUUUUUUUAAAUGAAGGAUCAAUGAGAGCUCCAAAGAGUAUGAAAGGGACAGUUUUACUUUACCCUUGGUCCAUCAAAGGAGAAGACCUACUGUUUAAGGCUUUUGAAAGACGAGUGUGCAGGUGAAUGCCCACUCUUCUCAAUCACCACCUCUACAUACUUAGUUAUCUUUUUACAUGGUCUCUGUCGCACUUGACAGUAGGAGAGAAUCUAUUUCCCUACCACACCCUCCAGCCGUGGCUGUUUGCCUCCGCUAACCCAAUUUUUAGGUGCUUAUUUUUAGAAGAUGAAGACAAAAUUAUGAAUAAAAAAGUAGGCAAAUGAUUGGACAAGAAAAGAAUUCACAACUAAUUAUUGAAGACUUGGAGACCCAGCAUUUCUUGAGAUCUUUGUAGGCAAUUUUCCAGAAAUGCUUACAUGGAAAUGCUUCCUUAUUGCAACCUGGCUUUUCCUAACCACCUAGAACACUGCAUCUCUCAGUAACUCCCAGUGUUUGUGAGGUCCUGAUGCUGAAGUGUCCUCAGCUUCAAGGUGAGGCAUUCCAAUUCCAUCCCAGUCUUCUCAUCAGCCAGAGACAAGAGGAUGAUUCACUCUGGGUUUUUGUUGUUGUUGUUGUUGUUGUCGUUUUGCAAGGGGAUGCUCCUCACUGAUGUGAGCAUUAGCUUCUGUUAGAGACAAUAUAGUCGUCUCUCAUUUGAAGAAUGACUUCUUCCUCUUAAAGUAACUCUAAUCUUACCAGUUGUUAAUUAUAGAUCCCCAUAUUAUUGUGUUGUUUCUGGCUCUGGCUUAAAUUACAAGAGGUUGUAUUAGCUAUGUGACUCUGCCAAUACCACCCAGGUGGGAAACAUCAGCUUUUGCUUCCAAAUUUCCCUCCUAAAAGAAGGAAAUUCUAGUUUUUCCCGCCACAUGUGUCCUGCUGACUCAGACAACAAGCAUGUGGUGGGAGGAGACCAUGUUGGCAAAGGUCCUCUGCAUGCCCCAUGCACCUUAUGGACACACUGGUAACAGGAACCAGUGCAUACGUGCCUGUGUUGUCAUCAACAUGGUCUGCAUCAAGAAUGUCAGGAAUGGCUUCCAAGUUGCAUGAAUUUGUUUUGCUGUGUCUUGAACGCAGAGGGCAUUUAUCCCGGCCGGGUAAAGCCUGUAUACACCUAACAGAGGAAAUGACACAUGUUAAAAUACUUUAAAAGUAGAAUUUUUGUUGAACCGUGAUAAGCCUGGAGCUGAUGUUCUUUAAAUGACCAUCCAGAAUUCAUUCCAUACUAAACUUCUCUGGAGAAUGUAUGACGGUGAGAAAGGCUGUUAGCUUAACAAGACCAUCAAAUGGACUGACUAAUCUCUUAUUUCGCUUUCUCUCUCCAUGGAGGUUCUGCUUUGAGUCUGCUUGAGUUGAAUAAUUCUUCAGUGUUGCUCUGAAUGGUAUCUAAACAUGUCUCUUCAUGUUAGCUUUGCCCUAUUGUCUUUAAGCUUUCACUAGCUUCUCUGGAUUAUCGAAGGAGGAAGCAAAAACUAGUGCCCUACUCACAGUCUCUGGAAGCAAUAGGACAAGAAUGAGAAGGAGGUGGGGAUAAAAGGAAAACCAAACUCAAAAGAGCAGUUGGGUGUCACAGCAAAUGCUCCCAGCCUGUAGCAAGCAUCUGGUAACAUAACCUCACCUGCUCUCCUACCACAAGUGUCAAAUAAUUAGUGGAGUCCCUUGUCUUCUGUAGAGAAGCAUUUUGCUUAAUAUAUGUAAAUAGAAGACCUGCAUAAUUUAUUUUGGAAAACAAUGUACAAGAUUGAAAGUAAACCAGUAAAGCUUUCUUUUAAGAGAAACAUACAAAAAUGGAAAUGAAAAAGACCAUUUGAGCUUGCAUUCUUGAUAGAGCCUUCACCACUGUAGACAAUGUUAUGAGAGGGGCAGGUAUGGCUGGAUUUUAAUGAAAACUUCCCUUAAAUUCAUGCUCAGUUUGUGCCACACGGAGUCCUGUGUCCUUGUCACAAGAGCUCUCUCAAGAAGGUACCAUUAUUCAAAUUAAACAUGCCGUGCUGGGUCAAAUAGUGUCUCCCCAUCCCACACUCCAAACUCACACCCACCUGGUAUCUGAGAAUGAUACUUUAUUUGGAAAUGGGUAUUUGCAGAUAUAAUCAAGUUUAAAUGAGGUCAUACUGAAUUAAGGUGGACCUUAAUCCAAUGAGUGGUGUUCUAAGAAGAGGGGUACUUGGACACAGAGACAGAGAGGAGAGCGCCAUGUGAAGACAGAGGCAGAGGUU